rnacentral:misc_RNA from 1 species
CUGAAUUCGUGGCGUGCUCUCUUUAGAGUCGUCCCAAUAUUCUUCUAUACACUUGUGCACUGUGGGAGUGAGGGCGUUGCCCGUUUGCAGCUCCGUCAUUUCUAUCGCUUAUUAAAUGUUGCAGUGGAAUGCGUUUGCACGCAUAAGAAAAUA